AUUGCCGCCAUCUUUUCAAGUCGUGUGUCGUACGCACGAGGAAGUGUUUUGUCCCCGGUCAUUGCAAGUUGAACAAAAUUCGGAACGAGAUAAGAUCUGGCCCAGGGUGUCGGGACAAGCCGCCCAAACUCGUUGGCCUGUGGUCGCCACCUGAAUGGUCGCCAGUCUCUCUGUGCUAGUCUGCUGUCAAUCUGCGGUCAGUUGAGUGGUCUGUGGUCAAGCCAGGAUUUCCGUUUGUGGCUGGGUGAUCCAAAGUACCAUGGAUGCACAAUCUAAAGCAGCCCGCC